GGAGUACGGCUGCAAGGUUAAAACUCAAAUGAAUUGACGGGGGCCCGCACAAGCGGUGGAGCAUGUGGUUUAAUUCGAUGCAACGCGAAGAACCUUACCUGGUCUUGACAUCCACGGAAGUUUUCAGAGAUGAGAAUGUGCCUUCGGGAACCGUGAGACAGGUGCUGCAUGGCUGUCGUCAGCUCGUGUUGUGAAAUGUUGGGUUAAGUCCCGCAACGAGCGCGACCCUUGUCAUUAGUUGCUACAUUCAGUUGGGCACUCUAAUGAGACUGCCGGUGACAAGCCGGAGGAAGGUGGGGAUGACGUCAAGUCCUCAUGGCCCUUAUAGGUGGGGCUACACACGUCAUACAAUGGCUGGUACAGAGGGUUGCCAACCCGCGAGGGGGAGCCAAUCCCAUAAAGCCAGUCGUAGUCCGGAUCGCAGUCUGCAACUCGACUGCGUGAAGUCGGAAUCGCUAGUAAUCGCGGAUCAGAAUGUCGCGGUGAAUACGUUCCCGGGUCUUGUACACACCGCCCGUCACACCAUGGGAGCGGGUUCUGCCAGAAGUAGUUAGCCUAACCGCAAGGAGGGCGAUUACCACGGCAGGGUUCGUGACUGGGGUGAAGUCGUAA
rnacentral:rRNA from 1 species